rnacentral:tRNA from 1 species
GACUAGGUACUUUAAAAUAAAAGAUCUGAUUUGCAUUUAGGAAAUAAGUAUUUAUACUUCUUGGUCA